rnacentral:lncRNA from 1 species
CGUUGACGGGAGAACCUUCUUCGGGUAUAAUAGCCGAAUCAUUAUCUGUAGAUGUUUUAAUAUUGUGGAUCCGCAGAUGCAAUCGACAUACAGGAGCCAGUUGAUCAGCAUGGUUCGCGAGGCGGUGAGGCAGUGCAGUCUCGUUGGGGCUGGGUCAUCGAAUCACGAUCCGGGGGUUGCGUCCCAGACUUGCAGUCAGGCCUUCACUAUCCUUGACAGUUACGAGAACAAUAUUUGCCGCGGAUAUUUGAACCAGCCCAAAUGUCGUCCCAUGCCACAGGAGAUGGGCUACCAGUGCACCGUCCAGAUCCAUAAUGAUGGUUUAUUAAUGAGGAUGUUCGGCGGCACAGCAAGAAAAUUCGCAACCAUUGAGGAUUGCGUGCCGGACCUCAUCGCCGCGGAUCAGACCCAGUUGACUUCUAUUUCGACCCCGCCCCUGCAGACUGUGGCGGCUUCCAGCUCGAACCCACAACGGCGCGACAAAGGCAAGGAAGCCUUGGGAUUCCCUGGUCGGAGACAAAGUUUUGGAGGCGGAAGCGGUGCUGACCCUUCUUACGGAGGAUCUUCUCCCUUCUAUCCUUUUCACAGCGGAGGAUAUCCUCAACCUGCAGGAACUUCCCACUUCGAUUCUUUUUCCAUGGGAGGAUAUCCUCAACCUACAGGAACUUCACACUUCGAUUCUUUAUCCAUUGCAGGAUAUCCUCAACUUUCAGGAACAUCAAACUUCGACCCUUUCGGGUUUUUGAGGCAGACACAAACUACCGCAGGUGCUGGUGGUUCUAGUGGUGGAAAUCCUUUCCAAACAGGAGGCCAUCUUCAUCCUUCAGGCUCCUCGCAUUCCAUGCGGCCUCCACUUCCUAGAAGCCCACCACGCGGCACAAGACCCUCAGUGCGUGUUCCACCUUCAUCCCGCGGCGCAGAUCCAUCACACGGUCGGAGGUCGCCUCCACGGUGGGAUGAUUCACUCCCCGGCACUCCGCGACUUGCUUCAGAGCCUCCGGCCGAUCUAGAUCCUACCUUCCUCAUAGAUCCUCUCUUCGGUGUUAGUGAUUACACAACUCAAUCACCUAGUCGAGUCUCCUGUUUCCUUACGGAUCUUUCAUUUCUCGGGACUCCACAACAAGCUCCUCCACAGGAUGUAGAUUCUGACCUCGACAUGGAUUCUCAAUUUGGUAUAAGUGCUUACGGAUACGGCGAUGACAAUUCUGAUUCUGAUUCUGAUUCUGAGUCAGGGUCAGAACACGAAGAAGAGAAUACACCUCCAUCUUCAGGAGGUUCCAAGACCGCGGGCGCCGCAGGUGGUUCAGGUAAGUCAAGUUUUCUGAAGUUAGUAACGCUCGGUUUCUUCCAUUUGAGGAAAAGGCCCUGGUGCAAGCUUCUGCGCGCAGAUUGUUCCAAUUGAUAGACAAAGCGAUAGACAAAGAUGAAAUACGGAGUAUGGAACCAUCCUUUUGCUUGAAAUGGGUGGUUUUGUAUACACUAGGGGAGUCAAUGGUGGACUAACUAUGAGGUCGCUGGUGG